rnacentral:rRNA from 1 species
UACGGAGGGUGCAAGCGUUAAUCGGAAUCACUGGGCGUAAAGCGCACGUAGGCGGUCUGGUGUGUCAGGUGUGAAAUCCCCCGGCUUAACCGUGGAAUUGCACUUGAAACUACCAGACUUGAGUAUCGGAGAGGGUGGCGGAAUUCCAGGUGUAGGAGUGAAAUCCGUAGAUAUCUGGAGGAACACCAGUGGCGAAGGCGGCCACCUGGACGACUACUGACGCUGAGGUGCGAAAGCGUGGGGAGCAAACAGG